GGGUGAACCCCAAGUAGCGUGAAGGAUGACUGCCCUAUGGGUUGUAAACUUCUUUUAUAAAGGAAUAAAGUCGGGUAUGCAUACCCGUUUGCAUGUACUUUAUGAAUAAGGAUCGGCUAACUCCGUGCCAGCAGCCGCGGUAAUACGGAGGAUCCGAGCGUUAUCCGGAUUUAUUGGGUUUAAAGGGAGCGUAGAUGGAUGUUUAAGUCAGUUGUGAAAGUUUGCGGCUCAACCGUAAAAUUGCAGUUGAUACUGGAUGUCUUGAGUGCAGUUGAGGCAGGCGGAAUUCGUGGUGUAGCGGUGAAAUGCUUAGAUAUCACGAAGAACUCC
rnacentral:rRNA from 1 species